rnacentral:lncRNA from 1 species
AUGCGGUACUGUGACGCUUCCACAUUCCACAUCAUCUUCAUCUUCUUCUGGUAUCACCCGAUUAGGGUUUUUCAGAUUCCGAAAUUGAACAAAGCAAAACUUCUAAUGUUUCAUCGAUUAAUAGUUCUGAAAUCAAUAUUGUGGUUUUGACCUGUUUAUCCCUUCUAAACUUGGAACCCUAAUUUCCAGGUUUCUUCCCCUCUGUAUUCUCCAGCUUAUUCAGGAAUCAAUUUAAUAGUUUUCCUCAACAAAUCCUUAAUAAGAUUACUUUCUGCCGCCUAAUUAUCCAGCCACUGAUUUCAGAUAUGCGUGGAGUAUUUGGUGAGUUCUGGUUGUUUUAAUUCAUUAAACUUCUUUCUCACACAACGAUUUGAUGUUAGUAUUAUAGUUUUAUCAUUAUGUUCAGAUUAGGAUUUGUUGUGGUUCAAAAUUGUUAAAAUUAGGAUAGGGUUUCAUCUUGAUGUAUGUGACAACAUGUAAUUCAAUUAUCAAUUUAGAUUAGGGUUUGUCUUUUGAAUUCAUCUCUAUUUGGUUUUGUAGAUUGAAGGUU